AUUGAACGCUGGCGGCAGGCUUCACACAUGCAAGUCGAACGAGCGGCGGACGGGUGAGUAAUGUCUGGGAAACUGCCUGAUGGAGGGGGAUAACUACUGGAAACGGUAGCUAAUACCGCAUACCAUCGGAUGUGCCCAGAUGGGAUUAGCUAGUAGGUGGGGUAAAGGCUCACCUAGGCGACGAUCCCUAGCUGGUCUGAGAGGAUGACCAGCCACACUGGAACGGAGACACGGGCCGGACUCCUACGGGAGGCAGCAGUGGGGAAUAUUGCACAAUGGGCGCAAGCCUGAUGCGGCAAUGCGGGGUGUAUGAAGAAGGCCUUCGGGUUGUAAAGUACGUUCAGCGGGGAGGCGUUACCCGCAGAAGAAGCACCGGCUAACUACGUGCCAGCAGCCGCGGUAAUUC
rnacentral:rRNA from 1 species